rnacentral:lncRNA from 1 species
GCACCUAAAAGGCAUCGAAUCCCGAAAAUAGUUUUAAAAAAUGAAAUAAAAUGUGGCGACCCGGUAGUUGAGAUUUUUGUAGGGCUGGGCGUCUAGACCCGAAUAACCGAAGACCCGACCCGAACCGAGCAAAAAAGCCCGAUUCGGUUCGGUUUUGAUUUAUAAAUUCUCGGUUCGGUUUAGGCCCGACCCGAAUAUAUUUUCUUAGUUCGGUCUCGGGCUUCAAAUAUACAGAAACCGAAAGCCCGAACCGACCCGUAUUUUGUUUCCAUUGCUACUUGUCUGUAUAUGUUAAACCUCCCAAGCCAGUUCCUCCUCCUCUUCCUAAACCUCCAUAGACCAGACCCGACCUUCAGAUCAUCGCCGAACUCAGAUUUCUGGAAUUAAUCCUCCUUCUCCCACUCAAAGAAGCUAGCCCAAAUCGUCGACUGGACCUGCACCUUCAGCAACCCGUCGAUGGAAAAUCAUCACCUCGUUCCAAUCGGCCUAAGGCAGCUCCCUAGCUCACCGCCACGACUAGGAGUAUUGAAGCUGAAAAGGAGAGGGCUCGCUGUUUUGCCCACAUCGAAACCCGAUCUGCAAGAAGAAGAAGAGGAGGAGGAGAGGAGGGAUCAGA